AAGAUUAGUAACAAUAGUUUAUAAACACACUAUUACUAUAGGCAUUCGCUUAACAAAUGUCAGACUGUCAGGAGGGAACCUGUUGAUCGUUAAUGAUGAGUCGACUCUUUGCUCUUCUAACCCUAAGGACACUCACGAUUACCUGAUAUUUCUCAAUACAUGUAAUGUGAUGUGGUCAAAAAAGUCAUAAUUCAUCUAUGUCGCGUGUCAUGAUUUCGUCUACGUCUGUAUCUCUCUCAGCGCGGGGGGACGCUCCUGUAUUGGAGAGGUAGCUCACAGCAGACGACGGUUAACGUGUGUUUUCAGGCUAUUUUUGUCCGGUUCGCGGGAAGAGGUCAAGGCCUUCGCCCGUUGUCUAUAGCAGCAGCUGACGUCACAGUCUUACUACGUCUCGAGAGGUCUGCUCGAGGGCUGGUCGCUGCUGGUGAGAGUUUUUUUUUACCAAGGCGCUGAGUAGAGCGGAGAGUUUUUUGAGAAGACGGCUGGAGUCUGUGCUGUGAGGCAAGGUGCCGGUUGUAUGCUCUGCCACGACUGACCCAAGCUUGUGGGCACUGAGAAGCUGGUUGUACUAGCGAGUUGAUGCCAGCAGUGACCACCGGGACUUAAGUGCGGAGGCUGGCGGAAUGACAGCAUUGGGCUGUGACAUCCAGUGUCUACGGGAGUGUGCUUCCGUUUCUUCUCGGGUUGACCGUCGGUCAUUAACAUAAGCCGUGUGGACUUCCCGGUGUACACUGUUCACUUCCUGGACAAGCUUUGCAAUCAUGGGACUCCACCCCAGCUUGAUCAUCUGCAGCAGACGUUACAGCAGCUUCUGAUUUCACUUUUUUUUUGGAAAUAGUAGACAUCAGACGGGUGAAAUGUGGAAGAAACAUUUCUUCUUUUUUUAAAAAAAGUUGCAAAAGCAUCGCCCUCCACAACACACAACCAUUGCUCCUUCUGGAGAGAAUCCAUGGAUAUUCCGGCUUCAAUCAAGGCCUCACAUAUGUGUUGGGCACUCUCCAGUUCUUUGGACUGCUUUUUCCUACCUGGAAAAUCCACAAUAACAGUAUACAGCUGCUGAGCCUGGAGUGGCCGCCAGAAGGUCCAACACCACAACAGCGGGUCAAGAUUUCUGAAGAGCUGGACGUCCUAUGGCGAUGAUUCUGUUCGUGUUAUAUUAGCCGCUUGUGGUGUAUUGAAAAAAGUACCAGUCACUCCCAAAUACCACAUUUUGAUAAAGUAUAAACGAUGUUAAUCAGGAGAUUCUUACCCGCCAA